rnacentral:rRNA from 1 species
AGUGAACGCUGGCGGUAGGCCUAACACAUGCAAGUCGAACGGCAGCACAGUAAGAUCUUGCUCUUACGGGUGGCGGGUGGCGGACGGGUGAGGAAUACAUCGGAAUCUACUUUUUCGUGGGGGAUAACGUAGGGAAGCUUACGCUAAUACCGCAUACGACCUACGGGUGAAAGCAGGGGAUCUUCGGACCUUGCGCGAUUGAAUGAGCCGAUGUCGGAUUAGCUAGUUGGGUGGGUAAAGGCCCACCAAGGCGACGAUGCGUAGCUGGUCUGAGAGGAUGAUCGGCCACACUGGAACUGAGACACGGUCCAGACUCCUACGGGAGGCAGCAGUAGGGAAUAUUGGGCAAUGGGCGCAAGCCUGACCCAGCAAUACCGCGUGGGUGAAGAAGGCCUUCGGGUCGUAAAGCCCUUUUGUUGGGAAAGAACAGCAGUAGAUUAAUACCUCGCUGUUCUGACGGUACCCAAUCAAAAAGCACCGGCUAACUACGUG